rnacentral:rRNA from 1 species
UCGAGAGGCUUCGGCAAUGGGGGAAACCCUGACCGAGCGACGCCGCGUGGGUGAUGAAGAUUCUCGGAUCGUAAAACCCUGUCAGGUGGGAUGAAAAACCAUUCGGUUAACACCCGAGUGGCAUGACAGUACCACCAGAGGAAGCUCCGGCCAACUCCGUGCCAGCAGCCGCGGUAACACGGGGGGAGCAAGCGUUGUUCGGAUUCAUUGGGCGUAAAGAGCUCGUAGGCGGCUCUGUAAGUCGGGGGUGAAAGACCACGGCUCAACCGUGGGAACGCCUUCGAUACUGUGGAGCUUGAGGCCGGGAGAGGAAAGCGGAAUUCCUGGUGUAGCGGUGAAAUGCGUAGAUAUCAGGAGGAACACCAGUGGCGAAGGCGGCUUUCUGGACCGGUUCUGACGCUGAGGAGCGAAAGCCAGGGGAGCAAACAGG